UCCCUGAUGGUCCAGUGGCAAAGACUCUGUGCUCCUAAUGCAGGGGGCCUGGGUUCAAUCCCUAGUCAGGGAA